rnacentral:rRNA from 1 species
CCUACGGGAGGCAGCAGUGGGGAAUAUUGGGCAAUGGGCGCAAGCCUGACCCAGCAACGCAGCGUGAAGGAAGAAGGCUCUCGGGUUGUAAACUUCUUUUCUCAGGGACGAAGAAAGUGACGGUACCUGAGGAAUAAGCCACGGCUAACUACGUGCCAGCAGUCGCCGUAAGACGUAGGUGGCAAGCGUUAUCCGGAUUUAUUGGGUGUAAAGGGCGUGUAGGCGGGAGCGCAAGUCAGAUGUGAAAACUCAGGGCUCAACCCUGAGCCUGCAUUUGAAACUGUGUUUCUUGAGUACUGGAGAGGCAAUCGGAAUUCCGUGUGUAGCGGUGAAAUGCGUAGAUAUACGGAAGAACACCAGUGGCGAAGGCGGAUUGCUGGACAGUAACUGACGCUGAGGCGCGAAAGCGUGGGGAGCAAACAGGAUUAGAUACCCGGGUAGUC